AUUUAUNGGGUUUAAANGGGUGCGUAGGUGGUGAUUUAAGUCAGCGGNGAAAGUUUGUGGCUCAACCAUAAAANUGCCGUUGAAACUGGGUUACUUGAGUGUGUUUGAGGUAGGCGGAAUGCGUGGUGUAGCGGUGAAAUGCAUAGAUAUCACGCAGAACUCCGAUUGCGAAGGCAGCUUACUAAACCAUAACUGACACUGAAGCACGAAAGCGUGGGGAUCAAACAGGAUUAGAUACCCUGGUAGUCCACGCAGUAAACGAUGAUUACUAGGAGUUUGCGAUACAAUGUAAGCUCUACAGCGAAAGCGUUAAGUAAUCCACCUGGGGAGUACGCCGGCAACGGUGAAACUCAAAGGGAUUGACGGGGGCCCGCACAAGCGGAGGAACAUGUGGUUUAAUUCGAUGAUACGCGAGGAACCUUACCCGGGUUUGAACGUAGUCUGACCGGAGUGGAAACACUCCUUCUAGCAAUAGCAGAUUACGAGGUGCUGCAUGGUUGUCGUCAGCUCGUGCCGUGAGGUGUCGGCUUAAGUGCCAUAACGAGCGCAACCCUUAUCACUAGUUACUAACAGGUGAAGCUGAGGACUCUGGUGAGACUGCCAGCGUAAGCUGUGAGGAAGGUGGGGAUGACGUCAAAUCAGCACGGCCCUUACAUCCGGGGCGACACACGUGUUACAAUGGCAUGGACAAAGGGCAGCUACCUGGCGACAGGAUGCUAAUCUCCAAACCAUGUCUCAGUUCGGAUCGGAGUCUGCAACUCGACUCCGUGAAGCUGGAUUCGCUAGUAAUCGCGCAUCAGCCAUGGCGCGGUGAAUACGUUCCCGGGCCUUGUACACACCGCCCGUCAAGCCAUGGGAGCCGGGGGUACCUGAAGUCCGUAACCGCAAGGAUCGGCCUAGGGUAAAACUGGUGACUGGGGCUAAGUCGUAACAAGGAAUCACUAGUGAAUUCGCGGCCGCCUGCAGGUCGACCAUAUGGGAGAGCNCC
rnacentral:rRNA from 1 species